AACGAACGUUAGCGGCGCGCUUAACACAUGCAAGUCGUGCGAGAAAGGGCUUCGGCCCCGGUACAGCGGCGCACGGGUGAGUAACACGUAGGUAAUCUGCCCCCAGGUGGUGGAUAACCUUCCGAAAGGAGGGCUAAUACAGCAUAAGACCACGGGUUCGAAAGGACUUGAGGUCAAAGCCGGCCUCUUUACAAAAGCUGGCGCCAGGGGAUGAGCCUGCGGCCCAUCAGGUAGUUGGUAGGGUAAUGGCCUACCAAGCCUAAGACGGGUAGCGGGUCUGAGAGGAUGAUCAGGCACAGUGGAACUGAGACACGGGCCAGACGCCGACGGGGGGCAGCAGUGGGGAAUCUUGCGCAAUGGGCGAAAGCCCGACGCAGCGACGCCGCGUGAGUGAUGAAGGCCCUCGGGUUGUAAAGCUCUGUGGAGGGGGACGAAUAAGUGUUGGCUAAUAUCCAGCAUGAUGACGGUACCCCUUUAGCAAGCACCGGCUAACUCUGUGCCAGCAGCCGCCGUAACAC
rnacentral:rRNA from 1 species